AACGAACGCUGGCGGCAUGCCUAACACAUGCAAGUCGAACGAGACCUUCGGGUCUAGUGGCGCACGGGUGCGUAACGCGUGGGAACCUGCCCUUAGGUUCGGAAUAACUCCCCGAAAGGGGUGCUAAUACCGGAUAAUGUCUUCGGACCAAAGAUUUAUCGCCUUUGGAUGGGCCCGCGUUGGAUUAGCUAGUUGGUAGGGUAAAAGCCUACCAAGGCGACGAUCCAUAGCUGGUCUGAGAGGAUGAUCAGCCACACUGGGACUGAGACACGGCCCAGACUCCUACGGGAGGCAGCAGUGGGGAAUAUUGGACAAUGGGCGAAAGCCUGAUACAGCACUGCCGCGUGAGUGAUGAAGGCCUUAGGGUUGUAAAGCUCUUUUACCCGGGAUGAUAAUGACAGUACCGGGAGAAUAAGCACCGGCUAACUCCGUG
rnacentral:rRNA from 1 species